rnacentral:rRNA from 1 species
GACAGAGGUGCCAAGCGUUAGGCGGAAUCACUGGGCUUAAAGCGUGUGUAGGCGGAUUGCUAAGUACCUUGUGAAAUCCCACGGCUCAACCGUGGAACUGCUUGGUAUACUGGUUAUCUUGAGCCACUUAGGGGCGAGCGGAACAAAAUGGUGGAGCGGUGAAAAUGCGCAGAUAUCAUUUUGGAACACCAAAUGGUGAAAAACAGCUCGCUGGGGAGUGUGCUGACGCUGAGACACGAAAAGCCCAGGGGGGAGCGAAACGGGGGAUUUAGAAAAACCCCC